GAAAUGCGAUACGUAGUGUGAAUUGCAGAAUUCCGUGAACCAUCGAAUCUUUGAACGCAUAUUGCGCUCGAGGCUUCGGCCAAGAGCAUGUCUGCCUCAGCGUCGGUUUAUACCCUCGCUCCACCCCCCUUGGGGGGCGGUUUGCGCCUUGCAAGCCAGGAGCGGAUCUGGCCUCCCCAAACUGCGCAAGCAGGUUGGGUUGGCUGAAGUGCAGAGGCUAGAGCUAGGACCCUUUGGGCCUCAACUGGAUAGGUAGCACCUGCUUCGGCAGACUACACGAAGUUGUGGCUGCGGUCCUUGCUGGCGGCCAGCAGGAAAACACUUAAACCUUCGACCUGAGCUCAGGCAAGACUACCCGCUGAACUUAA
rnacentral:misc_RNA from 1 species